rnacentral:tRNA from 1 species
GCGUGGCUCAAUUUGGUAGAGCACUUGGUUUGGGACCAAGGGGUUGCAGGUUCAAAUCCUGUCGC